GAAUAAGGGCACAGGUUUAGCACCUCACAGCAGCAGCUGGUCAAGACAGAUAAGAACCUACUGGCAUUAAUCAGUGGAAACAAUACAGGAUAAAGGCUGCCACUUUAUGAAAGAUGAGCUUGGCCUGUCCAAAAUAAGUUGUGUAACUUCCCCAUGGAGAAGACAAGAGAGGCUAAAUGGGUCACAAGCAAAUAGUCUCAUAAGCCCUCAGCCAGAUUAGCAUGUUGAAAUCCUCCCCUUUAUCUGGGCCAGUAAGGAGCAACUUAGCCUCCCAGAACUGGGCCCUCUUGGACCCACUAACCUAGAUCAUAGUGAGAGGUGACAGCGUUCUGGCAGCCCUCGCUCACUCUUGGCACCUCCUCAGCCUCGGUGCCCACUCUGGCCACGCUUGAGGAGCCCUUCAGCCCACUGCUGCACUGUGGGAGCCCCUUUCUGGGCUGGCCGAGGCCAGAGCUGGCUCCCUCUGCUUGCCGGGAGGUGUGGAGGGAGAGGCACGGGCAGGAACUGGGGCUGCAUGCAGCACUUGCAGGCCAGCCCAAGUUCUGGGUGGGCGUGGGCUCGGCAGGCCCGCACUCGGAGCAGCUGGCCGGCCCUGCCGGCCCCGGGCAGUGAGGGGCUUAGCACCCGGGCCAGCAGCUGUGGAGGGUGCACUGGGUCCCCCAGCAGUGCUGGCCCACCAGGGCUGUGCUCGAUUUCUCUCUGGGCCUUAGCUGCCUCCCCGUGGGGCAGGGCUCAGGACCUGCAGCCCGCCAUGCCUGAGCCUCCCCGCUCUGCCGUGGGCUCCUGCGCAGUGCACCCGAGCACAGCCCCCUGCUCCACGGAGCCCAGUCCCAUCAACUGCUCAAGGACUGGGGAGUGCAAGCGCAAGGUGCCAGACUGGCAGGCAGCUCCACCUGCGGCCCUUGCAGGAUCCACUGGGUGAAGCCAGCUGGGCUCCUGAGUCUAGUGGGGACUUGGAGAACCUUUAUAUCUAGCUAAGGGAUUGUAAAUACACCAAUCAGCACUCUGUAUCUAGCUCAAGGUUUGUAAAUGCACCAAUCAGCACUCUGUGUCUAGCUCAGGGUUUGUAAAUACACCAAUCAGCACUCUGUAUCUAGCUAAUCCAGUGGGGAUGUGGAGAACUUUUGUGUCCAGCUCAGGGAUUGUAAACGCACCAAUCAGCACCCUCUCAAAAUGGACCAAUCAGCGCUCUGUAAAACAGACCAAUAGGCUGUCUGUAAAAUGGACCAAUCAGGAGGAUGUGGGUGGGGCCAGAUAAGAGAAUAAAAGCAGGGCUGCUGGAGCUAGCAGUGGUAACCGGUUGGGGUCCUAUUCCACGCCGUAGAGGCUUUGUUCUUUUGGUCUUUGCGAUAAGUUUUGCCGCAGUUUACUCUUUGGGUCCAUACUGCCUUUAUGAGCUGUAACACUCACGGCAAAGGUCUGCAGCUUCACUCUGGAAGCCAGCUAGACCACGAACCUACCGGGAGGAAGGAACAGCUCAAGACUUCCUGCUGUAAGAGCUGUAACACGGCAAAGGUCUGCAGCUUCACUCCUGAGCCAGCGAGACCACGAACCCACCAGAAGGAAGAAACUCCGAACACAUCUGAACAUCAGGAACAAACACCAGACACGCCGCCUUUAAGAACGGUGGCCUGCAGCACCUGGUAAACAGAAAGGAUAGAUUUAAUUGAAGGACUCCUUUUAUUGCAAGGCAAUUGACAAAUGUUACCAGAAAAUAAACUCCCACCAUUCCCAAGUGAACGGAUUUCAAUCUGGUGGAACAGGCUAGACUACACGGAACUACACUGAUUCUGACAUGAGUCUGCAGAGGGAACAAAAGGACUGAGAUACUUAGAAACUCUGAUUGACAGAGCUAAAGACAAUGGAAACAGUUUCAAUAGAAAGAAGCUACAGGACUUCUUACAGCCCACAGUACCAGAACAUCAAGCUAUUUGGCUGCAGAUGUGUACUGCUCUUCAAGAUAAGAAAAGCAGUAAUCCUGAGGGCAAUUCAGAGGUCAUCAGCCUGUGCCAACUAAGACAAGAUUGAAGAGAGAUGGAUGUUAAUGACUGAUAAGUAUACAAAAGGAAGUGAGGAGCAUGGUAUGUAUUUUCUCUAAGAAAAUGUUGAUCAUCUUAGAGAAGAUUUACAUCAACAUGAAGAGACCGAUGGUAGAAAUACAGAAUUAAAUGCACUUCAGGUGAAGGUUCAGAUGAGUGGAAAAAACUUGUUAUUGGAAACUGGAGGAAUGGAGAUCUUUUUCAUAUCAUGGCAGGCAGCUCAGCUGAAUUGUAUCAUGCAGUAAAUGUAAAGUUACUUACUAUUUUAUUUUUUGAAAUUAAUAAGUAUCUUAUAAGAAGCUACUUUGAGACAAUGUAAGUACUGCAUAUUGCUUUUCCUUAAAUGUUCAUCAGUAAUUUUAGCAGCCACUGAUGUUUCCUUGCUGGAAUAAAAUUAUUGUGAUGAUGACUGUCAAAUGGUCAUUUCCUACCUUCGUCAUUUCUUCUAUAUUUUUUAGUUGACUUCUAAUGAAACAAACAAACAAAAACCCCUUUUCUUUCUUCUUUCCUUUUCAUUUAAUCCCUUCCUUUCUUCUUUCCUGCUUUCUCCUUUACUUUUUGGAGCAGAUAAGUUCUUGAGGGAGCCAUGAAUCGUAUAAAAAGGUGUCAUAUUAUUUUACCUACUGGAUUGAUGGUGACUAUUGUUUUCCUUGUCAGAAAAUAAUUAUUAAAGAAAGUCAAUAUAGAUACUCUCUUAACUGAUCUUAAUUUACCCAACUCCUUGGGUUGACAUUUCCUAUUCUCUCUGUAAAACCUAAUUAUUAGCUCAAAUUAUGCUGAAUACACUUGACUAUUACAUUAAGAGGGUCCCUAUUGACUCUCUAGUUCUAGGGUACAUCUAGUCUCUCAAAAGUUCUACACCAACUAAAAGUGAUUUGUAUUUAUUUGUAAAUCAGUUUAUACAAAAGAUUAUUGUAGUUACAGAAAGUAAAUAUUUUUACUUGCUUUGAUUAAAUAUUAAUAUAAAAGAUUGUUUCUAUGUAAGUUAAUCUGAAUUCCUUUAAAAUGCUUAUUAAGUCUACUCAGUAAAGUUGAUUGCUACUGAGUUAGUAAAGGGUGAGCCAAAUAUGAAUGACUGAAAAAUCAUGGUAAAAAUUUACUGUUCUACACUAAGAUACCUUUGAAAGUGUCUUAGAAUUCUGGCUCUAUUG